GGUGUGUAGCUCAGUGGUCAAGGGCUUGCCUGGCCCGCACCAGGUCCUGGGUUCCAUCCCCAGCAUCA
rnacentral:tRNA from 1 species